UACGGGGGGGGCAAGCGUUGUUCGGAAUUAUUGGGCGUAAAGGGCGCGUAGGCGGCUCUACAAGUCAAAGGUGAAAUCCCUCGGCUCAACUGAGGAACUGCCUUUGAAACUGUAAGGCUUGAGGCCGGGAGGGGGUAGCGGAAUUCCCAGUGUAGCGGUGAAAUGCGUAGAUAUUGGGAGGAACACCAGUGGCGAAGGCGGCUACCUGGACCGGUUCUGACGCUGAUGCGCGAAAGCGUGGGUAGCAAACAGG
rnacentral:rRNA from 1 species